AACAGUCGCUGACAGUGCAGGUCCUUGAUGAAAACGGUUGUAAAAAUAGAGACCAUCACUUGAAAGACAUAAAACCAUAAACAAAUGAAAUGUUAAAAUCAAGUGGUGUGGAUACCAACAGUAUCAUGUGUGUGGUGUUGAGGAUUUCCUCCUUACCAAUAGUUCUCAUAGUUAUUUCUGCCCACAAACUUAUCCACCGAGGCCUGCAGAGAGAAAGAGAUCUGAGCCUUUUGCUUUGGACACAGAGUAGUGGAAGCUUGGACAUGACACACAUCAUUAAUGCCGGACCUGACCAGCCCUCAACGGGGUGAUGAAACUAGGCUGGAAUUAAUGGACGUCAAUGAACCUUUUCUAACACAGGGUGGCAGUACACAGUAGGAUAACAGUAAAGGUCACCUCAGACUUAGUAGGAUAACAGUAAAGGUCACCUCAGACUUAGUAGGAUAACAGUAAAGGUCACCUCAGACUUAGUAGGAUAACAGUAAAGGUCACCUCAGACUCAGUAGGAUAACAGUAAAGGUCACCUCAGACUUAGUAGGAUAACAGUAAAGGUCACCUCAGACUUAGUAGGAUAACAGUAAAGGUCACCUCAGACUUAGUAGGAUAACAGUAAAGGUCACCUCAGACUUAGUAGGAUAACAGUAAAGGUCACCUCAGACUUAGUAGGAUAACAGUAAAGGUCACACAAAGGAAGAUGAGAAACUACUUGGACACUUCCCAUUGCCUCAAAGGUUUGUAUAUUGAACAAAUAUAUAAACGCAACAUGCAACAAUUUCAACUAGUUUACCGAGUUACAGUUCAUAUGGAAAUUAGUCCAUUGAAAUAAAUUCAUUAGGCCCUAAUUUAUGUAUUUCACAUGACUGGGCAGGGGGCGCAGCCAAUGGGUGGGCAUAGGCCCAUCCUGUGGGGAGCCAGGCCAAGUCAAUCAGAAUUAGUUUUCCUCCACAAAAGGGCUUUAUUACAGACAAAAAGACUUCUCAGUUUCAUCAGCUGUCUGGUCUCAGACGAUCCCGCAGGUGAAGAAGCCAGAUGUGGAGGUCCUGGGCUGGCAUGGUUACACGUGGUCUGCGGUUGUGACGCCGGUUGGAUGUACUGCCAAAUUCUCUAAAAUGA